GAGGAAAUUCUGGUCAACCUGAGUUUGUGCUUCGCGGACGCGAGGGGUUGACCGCGUUCGCGAAGAAGGAUUUGAAUGCCUGAGCAGAAUUUUUUAAUAGCUCAUUUCCGCGAUUUUGAGCAUAUGUUCCUCCAUUUUUUGGCGAUUUUGAUGUUUUUUGAAGAGGAUUGAAGAGGGAUUUAAGGGGGAACACUUGAAGGUAUGUUUUAUGGACUUAAUACUCAAUCAUAAUGUGAUUUCUACCUAAUUAAUCAUGGAANNNNNNNNNNNNNNNNNNNNNNNNNGAACUCGUGGAGCGAUAAGGAGUCUAUUGAUGUAAUUUUUAUCGGAAUCUGAGACGUGGGCCCGGGGGUCGAAUUUGGCCAAUUUCAGGAUUUGUGUUGUAAUUUGAUUUCUUUUAAGUGGACUUUGUUCCUUUAGCAUAUUUUGAUGGUUUUGCACUGAUUUUGGUUAGAUUUGGAGCAUCUGAAGGCCGAUUCGAGAGGCAAAGGCAUCGCGAGCUAGAGUUUGGACCGGAUAGAGGUGAGUAAUGAUUGUAAAUGUUGUCCUAAGGGUAUGAAACCCCGAAUUUCACAUCGUUGUGCUAUAUUGAGGUGUCGCACACGCUAGAUGACGAGCGUGGGGCUGUGCACAGUUGGGGAUUGUGACUUAGUCCAUCCCAAAGACUAUUUUACCGCGAAUUUGAUUGAAAACUGUUUGCUAUCACCAUGUUUUGGGCUGAAGUAUUUGGGCCUCGUGCCAACUAUUUGGACCCUUAGGGGAUUUUUACUAUUAUUUUCUCAUUGUUUUGAUUUUUUAUCUAUACUCAGUCAUGUUGUAUUAUACUGUUUUCAUAACUUAGCCAUGUUUACUCUAUUUUAACACUUUAAAUGAUAUUUUGGGCUGAGCGUCAUAUUUUACUGUGCCUGAGUGGCUUUUAGAGAUUUUUGACUAAAUAGGGCCGAGGGCCUGUGUUGUGAGGAUUAUUAUGGGAUCGGGUUGCACGCCGCAACAGUGUUGUACUCAUUAUGAUUAUGAGGCCGAGGGCCUGAGUUGUACGCCAUGAGGUGGCUUGAUAUGAGGUUGAGAACCUAUUGAUUAUUCCAUGAGAUGUCUUGAUAUUGCGCUUGGAGCGUAAGGGGUCCCUCCCAUAGUCUGUACACCCCUAGUGAGCGUGGGUACCCAUUAUGAUAUGAGAUAUAGCCCGAGGGGCUGGUGUUGUUCCAUGUUAUUGUCCGAGGGGCUGAUUCUGUUGACAUUGUGCCCGAGGGGAAAAUUUUAUGUGUUUACCUUUUCUAGCUGCCUUUCAUUUACCUUUUUAUUUGUUAAAAAGGUUUUUUAAAGAAGCUUAUUCUGAGCUAAGGUAUUUUUAUAAGAUUUCACCGUUUUAUUGCAUUUUAUUGGUUUUACAUUGUCUAUUUAUAGCAUCUUGUUGUGUUUUAAUGUGAUUUCUUAUCGCUCAGUCUUCAUUUAUUGUUAUUACUCACUAAGUUGGAGUACUCACUUUACUCCCUGCACCCUGUGUGCAGAUUCAGGAGCUUCAGGUCCCGUCAAUGAGGGUUGAUUGCUCAACAGGCUAUUCGGAGUCUACUAGAUAGCUGCUCGGAGUUCGCAGACCAGUGUUUCUCCCUCCUAUUUUAUUUUUCUUGUUCUAGCUAUGUAAUAGAUUGUAUAGACUCUGUCAUACUCUUAGACUAUGUUAGAUGGUCAUGACUGGUGACACCUGAUGUCGAGCUGUGUUUGGUUUUCCGCAGUUGAUAUAUUUUACUCUAUUAUGGGAUUUAUCAUUAUUAAUGACUAAAUUAUGAAUUAUUAUCUGUUAAUUUAAUUAGGAGUUUGUGUCAGCUAGCCUUGUCUUCACGAGAGGCGCCAUCAUGACCGAGUCUGGGUUUAGGGUCAUGACAAAUAAUCACUCAAACAAUGUUAGAAAUUUAUAAAGGAAUUGUAUGAGUUUCAACUCACUUACUUGAAGGUUUGUAUGAAAUACUUGACUACAAAUGAGAAAUUUGUGUUUUCUUGAAAAUAAAUUGCUAUUUGUGGAUCGGGCUGAGCGCCUCGGUAGUAAAUAGAUGCAUUUAUGGUUCGUUCGACCCUCCUGCAAUGCACAUUUUAAUACUAUGUUGAACCGGGCCGUACGACCUUGACAUAAAUGCGCAUGUUAAUUAAUUUGAAUUCUCUAUGAUUUAUAGUACUUAAAUGCCUUGGAAUGUAAGUGGUUUAAUGAUUAAUGCCAUGGAAUGUAAGUGGUUUAAUGAUAUGACUGAAAUUUGAAAUAUUAUUUAUGAAAGAAGAACUUAUCACUUCCUAUUAUUAAACUGUCAAUAUUCAUUCUAUUCAUGCUUAGCAUAACACUUUAAUUAUAUUAUUGUUGACCCUAGUAAGUGUUAAGUCGACCCCCCGUCACUACUUCUUCGAGGUUAGACUGAAUACUUAUUGGAUACAUAUUGUUUAUGUGCUCAUACUAUGCUACUAUACUUAAUUGUAUAAGAUCUGAGGCAGGUGCAUCUAGUUACCUGACCGACGCACAUAGUUGAUCCCCGAAUAUGAAUUCAUGGCGACCUACCCCCUUUCGAGCCGUUCAACAGCAUACCGGAUGUUUCUCUUUUGUUUAUGCCUGUCUAUUCUAUUCCAGACAGUAGGAUAGUUAUCUUUUGUAUAUUCUGCUAGUUGCACAUACACUUGUGACCCUAGAUCUUGGCAUAUAUUUGUAGACUUGAAUUUUUGGGUUGUAUUUCUAUGGUCAUGAUUUCUUUUAGUGGUUUCCAUUUUGCUUACUUUAAAAAUCCGUUACAUAUCAAAUACUUUGAAUUUAAGUAAGUUAGAUGUUGGAAUUGUUUAACAAAAAUGGGAAUUCACUAGUUGAUCGGUGUUGGCUUGCCUAACAGCGGUGUUGGGCACCAUCACGACCUAUAAUGGAAUUUGGGUCGUGACAAAAUCAUACUUAGGGGUCGUUCGAGCAAUUCGCAUUGGAUAUGAAGAUUUCAGUUUGGAUUUUCAAUUUUCAGAUUGAAGAAAUAACAAUAAACUUGAAUUGGAUCGGGCUUUUUAAUUUUGGAUUCACAUUAAUUGAUUUGGAUAUUUUGGAUUUUCGAUUUUGAGCUUUUAAGUUGAGAUGUUUAUUCUUUCAAUGGUAAUGAACAUCCAAAUGAUGUAUUCAUAUUAAACUGCUUCAAAAAUUUCUCAUUUCACCGCAAACAUCCAAAUAAAGUAUUCAAGUAAUGAAAUCAUCAUCAAGGAAAUACAACAAAGACAUUAGUAACGUUGAUGAGAAGUGGCAAAAGUAAAAUCAUGUCCAAAUAGAAAGUAUUCUGAUUGUAACUUAGUAAUUAAUAUUGAAUAUAUGAGAUUAUGUCUAGUGAUUACGACACUGGACUUGUUACUAUUGGUAUACGAAUAAUGGGCUAAAUAUAAAAUAUAAAAAAUUUGAAUUUUCGGAUAUCCAAAAAUCUAAAGUAUCAAAUCCAAUCCUAAAUGCAAAAAAUUUAAAAAUUAAGUUCAACAUCCAAUCCAUAAUCCGAAAAUUCAAACCAAAAAUCUAAUUAAUUUGGAUUUCGGUUUGAAUUUUGGUUUGCCCAAACUAUGCCGACCCCUAAUCACAAUAAGAAAAAUAUAAUUAAUCAAACAACUUGAAGGAUCAAAUUGGAAAAUUCUGCCAAGUUAAUCUAUAUAUAUAUAUAUAUAUGGACAUACAAGAAAUAAAACUGUUCCACAAUGCUUUAGAACUUCCAAAUUCAUCCGAACAUCAUCUAAUUAGGCUCCUGUCAUUCAUGAUAAACCAUCCAAAUUAGGAUCCAAUUUCAUGAAAAUCAUAAAAUUUAGACCAUAAAGUUUCAACAUUUUAAUCAAAAUCAAUUUAGAGAUAAUUACAGUCCAAGACCUUUCGGUCUAAUUUACAAAAUACUCGGCCGUUCAUUGAGAGAGUAAUAGCCCUGAUCCCCUAUUAGCUGCUUCCCCCGUAUCUUUUAUUGCUUAUAUGACUUUUCGGGAGUUUUUUUUGUUUCGGAGUGUUUUGGGACAGUUAGUCCCCAAACGGAAGCUUAAGCCUUAGGAUUUUGACCGUAGUCAGAACUGUGUGAAGAUGACUCUGAAAUGGAAUUAUGUCGGUUAUGUUAGCUAUGUUGGGUGAUUUUGGACAUAGGGACGUGUUCGGAUUAUGUUUUGGAGAUCUGUAGCUGAUUUAGGCUUGAAAUGGCGGAAGUGGAAUUAUUGGAGAUUUUGACCGGUAGUGGACUUUUUGAUAUCGGGGCCGCAAUCCGAUUCCGAAAGUUGAAUGUAACGGCCCGAUUGGCCGUUUUGAUCACUUGAACUUCGCUCUCCAGUUCUGGGGCAUGACUAGCCUCGUAUGAUGUAUUAUGACUCAUGUAAAUCGUCGGUUUUAGUUUUUAGGUUAAUCGGAACAGAUAUGGAAGAAAGAUUCUCAGCUUGAAGCUUUAAAUUUGAAAGGUUUGGCCAAGUUUUGACUUUUUAGUAUUUGACCUCGGAUUUGAAUUUUGAUGACUCUGUUAGCUGUGUUAGGUGAUUUUGGACUUAGGAGCGCAUCUGGUUUGUGAUUUGGAGGUCUGUACUGGAAUUAGGCUAGAAUUGGCGAAACUACGAAUUUGAUGGUUUACGAUUAGUGGUGGAAAAUUUGAUAUCAGAGUCAGAAUAGAAUUCCAAGAGUUGGAUCAGGCUCGUAAUGUCAUUUUUGACGUGCGUAAAAAAUUUAAGAUCAUUCGGACGAGGUUUGAUAGGUUUCGGUAUCGGUUGUGAAAGUUUGAGGUUUCAAGUUCAUUAAGCUUAAAUUGGAGUGUGAUUCAUGUUUUUGUUAUUGUUUGAAGUGAUUCAAUAGCUCGAUUGAGUUGGUAUGGUAUUUUAGGACUUGAUGGCACAUUUGGUUGAGGUUCCGGAGGCCUCGGGUGUGUUUCAGGUAAGUUUUAAGCGAGUCUGGACAUUACCAGAACUCAGGCAUGGUUUUGGUGCUUAAAUAUUCCGCUGAGGGCAAAAAAGGAGCGGUGAGGGCGGAAAAAGGGGCGCUGAGGCGCUCUAGGGAAGAAUCUGCAGGUUUGUUGGUCCGACUUUGGAAGUCUAUAUCUUUUGAUCUACAAGCAAUUUUGAGAUUAUUUAAAAACAAAAGUUGUAGCCCUUCGUGUUUAGUUUCCAGAAAGGUAAAGAAAUCAUCAUUAGAACAUCCUUAGAGAAAGUUAUGGCCAAAACACUAAGGCCUAUCUGUGCAGCCACCGGAAGCACGGUCAGCGGAGGAAUUUCCGCUGGGGCGAUGGAAUUCCGCUGAGGCGGUGAGUUUUGGCCAUCAGUGGAAAUAGAAAUCCGAGAGGCGCACUAUAAAUACGAGAUUUGGGGUUUUAUUUCAUAUUUUGACCCAUAGAGCUCGGGUUUUGGCGAUUUUUCAAAGGUUUUUUUAAAGAAAUUCAUCGGGAUAAGUGAUUCUAAGUCAGAGUUAGCUAAAAUGCAUGAAUCUAUCAUUGAUUUUAUCAUUUGAUUAGUGAUUUGGGGUGAAAAUUGGGGAAAAUUAGUAGAACUUCAUAAAAUGAACUUUUGGAAUUUGAUAUCCGAUUUGAAGUCGGAAUUGAGUGAAACUAGCAUGGUUGGUCUCGUAAUCAAGUGGAUUGUUGGAUUUUGUGACUUGGGUCAGAUUUUGAGACGUGGGCUUGGGGCCUAGCUGUUGAGUUGAACUUUUGACUUUUGGCUUUAAGUUUAGUAUUUUGUUUUGGGAUUGGUCCCUUUUGCUCGUAUUAAUUGUAUCAAAUUGUUUGUGGCUAGAUUCGAGGCAUUUGGAGGCCGAUUCAAGAGGCAAGGGCACUGCGGAGUAGAGGAUUGACCGGGUUGAGGUAAGUAAUGAUUGUAAAUCUUGUCUUGAGGGUAUGAAGCCCCGAAUUUCACAUCGUUUCACUAUUGUGAGGUGACGCACAUGCUAGGUGACGGGCGUGUAGGCAUGCACCAUUAGGGAUUCUGACUUUGUCCAUCCCGCAAUGACUUUGGAGUUGCAUAUUUUGAUUUAAGCCGUAUAAUAGCUAUAUUUUUUUAGAAAAAAUUCUUAUAACCUGGGCCGAAUGCCAUGUUUGGGCCUUGUGCCUGUACUGUUUGGACCCUCAAGGGUAUUUUGUUACUAUCCUCACACUGUUUUGAUUUGAAAGCAUAUCAUCAGUCAUGACUUUACCUGUUCAUUGUUUGAUUCAGUUUCAUUACUCUAUUUUUAAAUAUAUGAAAGUUGUUUGGGCUGAGUUUUCCUGAUUUUUCACCGAGAUGCCUGAGUGGCUUAUGAGAUUGAUGACUGAGAGAGGCCGAGGGCCUGAUUGUGAGGAUUAUAUAUAUAUAUAUAUGGAUAAGGCUGCACACUGCAGCGAUAUAUGGAUCCGGUUGCACGCCGCAGCGAUAUUAGAUCGGGCUGCACGCUGCAGCGAUAUAGCGUUUGGGUUGUAGGAGCCCCUCCGGAGUCUGCACACCCCUAGUGAGUGCAGUCAACUAUAUAUAUUUAUGGAUCGGGCUGCACGCCGCAACGGUUAUUAUAAGGUACCCAUUGAACGUGAGUGCUGAGUAUGAGUGCUGAUUGAGGAGAAUUGAGUCAUGAGUGACUGAGAGGCUUUCCCGAGGGGCUAUAUAUACACGAGUGAUGCUUUUCCCAAGGGGAUUGUUUUAUUAAAUUUCUAUUUUCACUCCUCUUUAUACUGAGCCUUUAUUGAAAAUGUUGAACAAAUGUUUUAAACAACUUUUAUUGAAACUAGAGUUUUUACGAGAUGUUCGGAAUUUACUUAUUGAUUUGGCCUUGUUAUUUCCACUGAGAUUCUUAUGUUAUGAGAUGUAUAUGAGUGACCGAAAGGUUUGCCCGAGGGGCUGUUUCUGAUUCAUGUUUGCUGCGGGGCUGUAUACGAACUAUGUUUUGCCCGAGGGGCCGAUUAUGAUAUUUAUCACAUUUACUAUAAACUGCAUUGAACCUCUAUUGAAACUGUUGGAAAGAAUCUUCAAAUGAUUUUUUUACUAAAAAUUGGAUUUUAAAUGAGAUGAUUUGACUCAUGUUCCGAUUUGAAGUCAUGUUGUGCUUACUGAGUUUAUCAUGAUGUGGAUUUAUUUGUUUCCUACUGCUCAAUCUCUAUUUACUUUUAUUACUUACUGAGUUGGCGUACUCACAUUACUUCAUGCACCAUGUGUGCUGAUCCAGGUAUUUCUGAACCCGGCGGCGGGUGUUGAUUACUCAGUGACAGGUCCAUCAGAGUUAGCAAGGUAGUUGCCUGGCAAUCGUCGCCUGCUUCUCUCCCUCCUUAUCCUCCCUUAGUUGUAAUCGGUUAUUUCCAAGCUAUGUUAGUCUUGUUGUUGUUAGACGGUUGUAGUAGAUGCUCAUGACUAGUGACACCCCUAUGUCGGGCUUUCUUUCCACACUGUUAUUUUGAUUUAAACAUGUUAUGAAGGUUUAUUGUUAAAUAGCUUUGAUUUUAUCUUAAAAUAAAAAUAUUGAUUGGUUUUGGAAAUGUGUCGGCUUGCCUAGUACCACGUUAGGCGCCAUCACAAUCGGGUUAGUUUUUGGAUCGUGACAAGUUGGUAUCAGAGCCUAUGUUACAUAGGUCUUACGAAUCAUGAGCAGGUUUAGUAGAGUCUCGUUAAUCGGUACAGAGAUGUAUGUACUUAUCUUCGAGAGGCUGCAGAACCAUUAGGAAACUUCACAUUCUUGAAUUCUUAUCGUGCGAAAUGGAUUCAGCUUAAAGUGUAACCCUUUGAAUUCCUUCCACGCAUUCGUAUGCGCACAUGCGUGCUCGGUAUCAACUGUGCAUUGACGACUUGUGAUUCUCUAGAUGAGGUGCGAGAUGUGAUCUUGGCAUGUUGAUGAUAGGCCAGUCUGGAGGACUUGAGGUCGAGUUUUGUCUAUGGCUUGAGUGCUGAGAUUUUGAUUGUGCGAGCACGUGCAUUUAGGACUUAUAUGUCCGGUUGUGUCCUUAUUGGUGGGAUUUGUGACUAGAUGACUAUGGGGUGAGUAUGAUUUGAUUGCGAGAUUUUUUCAGAUUGUUCAAAUGUGGCAAGGAGAGUUUGUUGGAGAUAUAGCAAGGGAUAUUGGGUGCUUGACUCCUGUCUUGAGUUGGAGUAUGGCCUCGAGCUAUGGGUGUGUUGAAGGACCCCUCGUGUAGUUUAGUUGUGGAGUGGAGUAGAUCUUCAUGUUGUGUUAUGAGUUCAAACUCUGAGGGUUAAGUGAUUGUGUAAUAGUUAUGAUUAUGGAGGAGUAAAGAGAGAUACCGGUUUGAGGCUAAGCAGGUGGGUUGUCUCCUGCAGGGUGUCCAGAGGGUAUGUGAUCCCUAUGUUGUUUUGUAGUGAGUCUUCUUUUACCACUGAAUUUUAUGUAGUACAAUUUGAGUUUGGAUCGCUUAUGGGAAUGGGUGUGACUGUUACGAGGGUGAAUGCGAGAUUUGUAGAUGAUUUGAAAUACUAUUAUAGUAGUAAGAGAUUAUGGGAAUUGUGAGUGUUUGUGUGUUUUGAUCUUUGGCUUUGAGCCAAGUAUGUGAGUCUUCUAUUGAUCAGUUAAUUACAAGGUUAUGUGUUGUGUUUGUUCCAAUUUGAGGUAUACUAGUGAAUCAGUUAUGGAUUACAGAGGUUGAGAUCGAGGAUGACUUGAGUAAAGGAAAUUUUGGGUAAGGGUUGUGUUAUGCUUUAUGGGUAUAUGAGAAACAUUGGAUGAAUUAGUUGUUGUUUGUAAGGAUAUAGUGUGUAUGGAGUAGGAAAAUCACUUAACGGCUUAGAAGAGUGGGAUUACUCCUUUGGGUGUUGGAGUGCUAAUGGGCACAGGUCGUUCGGUCCAUUUGAUCAGUCUAAUUGAGAUUUGAGCAGAGUGUAUGACUCUUGAGAACAGUUCUAAUGAAUUUAAGAUUUAUAUGUGGCAAUUGGGAUUCUUCAAGAUGUGUGUUGGCUAGAAACUGAGAUUUAUAUGGGAGGAUAUCAGGACUUGUGGCAUUUCUGUAUCAUUAUGUAUUUUACAUACCUGUAUCAGUAAGACAAAGGUAAUGGCUUUAGAUUCGCAGAAGGUCUCUUCAGAGCGGGUAUCUCAGUUGUGGUACUUUUGGGGGUGCUUCAGAAGAAUACAACGUUUUAUGAACCUUAGGGCGGUGUGGUUUUAUGCUAAAGAUUGUAUGGCAAGUUUUAGUUAAGGAUAAUGGUGUACUAGGAAGGAAACAUAUAAAUUUGAAGGUAAUUCAGAAGGAACUCAGAGAAUUAGGACAUGUUGGUUGUAGGUUGGUACUGGAUAUGGUGAUUCGUGUGCUUUAUGGAUUUGGAGGCUGGGAGUUCUCAUAAACGGGUUAUUUCGUGGUUGUGGACCGUGAAGAUGUGGGCAAGCUAGUCAGAUGAUAGUAUGUGCUAUGAUUCAGUCCUUGUGAACUUUCAGAGAGUUAUUUAUCUAUUGUGGGUGACUAGAGUUGAUUUGGGAUUCAUUGGUAGGCCAAUAUGGAUGUGUGAUCUGCAUUGAGUUGGAUAUGUUGACUUUGAACUGCUAUUGUUGAGAGAAGUACCAUUUGGUUGUUAUUAAGCUUAUUUGUGUUUUGAGAUUUAUUUGUGAGUUACUCUUGUAUGCUUCUCAGGAUUUUGAUUCGUCAAUUAAAUGCACAAAUGAUAUGGUUCUAUUUGGGCUCAUAGCAGAAUCUGAGUGAGAUGGGCAUCUGGGUAUUGCAUGAUUUAUUGCGUCAUUUGCUACUCCGUGGUUACGGUGAUUCACUCUUGGUACUAGACAUCAAAUUGUGCGUGGUUGUUGAUUUUGAGCAUGGUGACUUAGGUGUUUAGUGUGGACCGGUGAUUAGAUAGGAUUGCACAUUACAGCGAAGUUAUAUGGAGAUAUGAUCCUUCGAGUUAGAUUCGUGUGUUCUGGUUCUACGGUGUGUGAUGGGUUCUUAGCAUCGUGUUGUGGUGGUACUGUUGAGCUUGCGGUACAGCUCUCUCAUUUGAGUCAUUUUUCAUGAUUUGAGUAUGUUCGGAUUAUUCCUUAUUGGUGCAUGGAUUUCACGGGUUGUGGCUUUAGAUUGUAUUGAUGUGUCAUGUCACCAGAGUAGUCAUGUUGGAUAAGAUGAGGUCAUUGGACCUAGAAUGAAUACUAUCAUAUUCGAUUUCAGUAUGUUGGAAGGACAAUAUGGAAAUUUGGCUUAGAAAUUUUCUGUAGUCCUUGCGGAAGGAGAGGGAACUCCAUGACUGGUUGAAUUGAGGAAUGAUUAUGAUUUAUGUGUGUUCCUUUAAUCAUUGACAGUAUAUGAAAGUGUUGGAAUGAGGCUUUGGUUUGAUAAGAGGUUUAUAGCUGGAAUUGGGUUAUUUGAGCAGCUGUUGUGAUUAGAAGUUAUCGCAACGAGUGUUUGAGUUAUGUGAUAUAUCAUAUGAUUAAAUCUUGGGUUUCGAAUAUGGUUGAUAUAGCUUGUUCGGACUUAUACAAUGUAUAAAUGUGAGAUUCUGAUCUUAUAGAUGAUCUCGAAAGUGGUAAUUUGGUUGUAAGGGUUAUGGGCUAGGAUGGAUUGCGAAAUUUUAGUUUGCUUGUGCUAUCAGACCUAUACGGGACAGGAUGAUGUAGGAUCACACCUGGGUAUGUGCAUAGUGAGGAUACAUGGCGAUUUGUUGGCUUUUGGAAAACUUUGGACACGUUUGAGGACGAACAUAUGUUUAAGUGGGGGAGGAUGUAACGACCCGACCAGUCGUUUUGAGCACUUGCACUUCGCUCGCCAGUUCUCGAGCAUGACUAGCCUCGUAUGAUGUAUUAUGACUCAUGCGAAUCGUCGGUUUUGUUUUUUGGGUUAAUCGGAACAGAUAUGGAAGAAAGAUCUUUAAAUUUGAAAUGUUUGACAAACUUUUGACUUUUUAGUAUUUGACCUCGGAUUUGAAUUUUGAUGAAUCUGUUAGUGUAUGGGUCCAAAUUUGAACAACCACAACUGUUGAUGAGUACAACAAAUGAUGAGAUCCUAGUAGCUCGACAUCCUGUAGAGGACGACCUUCAGGCAAACAAGAGACUGUAUGACUAUUGCAGUACAGGCCCAUUAGGGGACAUUAGGAAUAUUUUUUCGAAUAUUCCCUAUAACUUGUCUUUUAGGGCUUAAAAGAGUUUUGUCCCUUAUAUAUAGAGCGUAAAGCAAACUUGUAAGCCCCGAGGCAUUUUUCCUAACUGAUAACACUUGUUGUAGCACUUGCUUACAAAAACAGUUGAUAGGAUUAUUGUUUAAGGUUUUGUCUUGAUGAGAUAAAGAAUUCAUAUCCUCCGUAUUCUCUUUGUCUAUCUUUUAUUCUAGAGAUUAUUAUACUUAGCUAAGAUUUACCCCUUUAUUUUCUUUGAUUGAUUUACUCAAAAAGUUUCGAUAUCUUUUGAGUCAAACAAUUUGGCGCCGUCUGUGGGGAUUUCUAUAGCUGAGAUCUUAGUUUCAUCUAGAUCCUUGAAAGAAAUAAUCACCUCUUCUUAGCCUCGCAAAAGCCAACAAUGGAAGGAAAGGGAGAAGCAAGGUUAAAGGCAAUAGUAGGUGUCAUGAACAACCUCCUAAAUUCCCUCAAUGAAGCCGGUAGGUAAGACAACGAAAACGCAACGCCAAGUACUACACCUGAGGGAGAAAUCUCACCCCCCCAGCACGAGGGCGUGACUGUUUUGCGUGAGAGGGAAACCUCAAAAUCCGCAGCAGGAGAAGCACCACCGGCUGUGAAUAGGCUAUUAGAAGAAUGGUUGACAAACACCUUGAGCAAUAUACUCGACAAAGCCAUUCAAAAGGAUAUCGAAGGCACAAUACCCGCAGAAACCACAACUAUCGUCGAUGAGCUAGAAACUCCACAAACAGGUAACACUCAUACUGUCAUUGAUGCAGGAAACGAUGUACUUGCGGUCAUCUUAAAGAAAAUGGAAGAGUUGGAAAAUGAGAACAAAACACUCCGCGACCAGAUGAAAGAGCAUCAGGAAAGGGUUGAUAAAAUACCGUGUGCUCCGAAGUUGCUACCAAAACGUGAUGUGGCCCGAUUCAUCAAACAACCAUACAGCGAAGGGGCAACUCCCCACUCUAUUCUGAAAACCUUCAAAAUGCCGCCAUAUUUGAAAAUAUAUGACGGCACCAUAGACCUGGAGGAUCACUUAAUCCAUUACGUUACUGCAGUAAAAGGUAACGAUCUAUCGAAAGAACAGGUGUCAUAAGUGCUGCUGAAAAAGUUUGGCAAAACUCUGAUAGGGAGAGCAUUGACAUGGUAUUCCCAACUACUAGCACGAUCGAUAUCAACGUUCGAAGAAAUGAUAGAUAAGUUCAACACCGCUCACGCGAGAGGGAAAAAGGCAAAGCGAGGGUAAAUGAAAUCUUCGCCGUCAGGCAGACGACAGGUGAGGGACUUUGGGAUUUCCUAGCCCGAUUCAAUAGGGUAAGAAUGAGCCUACCAAACAUGUCAGAAGGGAUGGCAGUAGCAGCCUUCCAAAAUGGGUUAAACAGAAACGGGUCAAAAGCAACCAAAAAGCUGCUAAGUAGACUCAUAAAGUAACCCCCCCCCCCCUCCCACCACGUGGGAAGAAAUCCAUAAUGCCUAUUGCGCCAAAAUAAGGGCGGAAGAGGAUGACUUGAACGGCCCGAUCCAGCGACUAACAUCAGCCCCAACCGAAACAAGGAGAGAUUGCCGCAACGAGAGCCGAAGGGACCAACUAUCCCGUUUCAAUCGAGAAAGGCACCAUCCCUAGAUCCGAACAACCAACCCACCUCCUCCACGACAUGCAGAUGUCGUGCCUUGACAUACUGCACCACCCCGAAACGAAAUAGGUAUGCCUAUACUAUUAUCUGCUCAUAACUUUUGUGUUUCUCCUUUAGAAAUAGUGUACGCACUGGAAAAGCUCGGCACAAAGGUGUAGUGGCCGCAAAAGAUGAAGUCGGAUCCGAGCACCCGGAGAUCGAAUGUUCUGUGUGAAUUCCACCAGGAAAGGGGAUAUAAGACCGAGGACUGCAUAGGUCUACCACAGGAAGUGGUAAGAAUGCUAAACUAGGGACACCUGAAAGAACUGUUGAGCGAUCGAGGACGGGUUAACUUCGCUCAUGGACGCGACCAACCUCAGGGACCUCCAAAACCACCAUCGCCAACUCGGACAAUACAAAUGAUCAUUGGCGACGGCGACAAUACAGUAAUCAACCAUGUGAAAUUCACCACCACACACAAACUCAAACAGACAGUCGCCCACGAACGAUAUGACGACCUCGAAGAUAGUAUCAUCUUCGAUAAGUCGGAUACCAACGGUUUGUCUUUCCCUCACUAUGAUGCUUUGGUUAUAAAUUUAUGCAUCGUGGAUACCGAUGUAAAGAGAAUAAUGGAAGAUGACGUAAGCGGCGCGUGUAUUAUUCACCCACGAGUCCUCAUACAGAUGAGGCUCGAGGAUAAAAUAGUACCGCAUUGCAUAACACUAACGGGUUUUAAUAAUGUAGUGGAACGAACCUCUGGAGAGAUAUUGCUACCCAUUUUGGCAGGAGGAGUCACCCUGGAGACGACGUUCCACUUCAUGAACCAGAAAAUAGCCUACAACUCCAUCAUAGGGCAUCCAUGGAUACACGCCAUGCGAGCCGUCCCGUCAAGUUUCUAUCAAGUAAUAAAAUUUCCUACCCCAUGGGGGAUAUUCAGCAUCCGAGGCGAGCAACGCACUGCCCAAGAAUGCUACUGAAUCGCCAAAGAUUGCACACACACCAAAUAACUAAUGGGGGCAAGUGCGGAAGUAUAGCAAUCAGCCAAAUCGAGAACCAAGACCGACGUACAAAUAGAGUCCAACAAAGACCCGGAUGUCGUAGAAGCUUUCAAGGAAACCGUAGAAGACCUCGACCCCAUCCAACUAGACAACACCGAUAGCACGAAAAAGGCUUAUAUCAGACAUAACCUCUUAGAACCAGGUAAGUACCAUGAGUUCUUAACUAACAAUGCCGAUUUGUUCGCCUUUUCCCAUUUAGAUAUGCUAGGAAUCCCAAGGGACAUCGCCACACACAGGUUGAAUGUCGACCCUCUUUACCCGCCAGUAUGGCAAAUGAGGAGAAAGUUCAAUGCCACCAUUAAUGAGGCGGUCAGUGAAGUAGUCGAUAAGUUACUCACUAAUGGUUCCAUCUGAGAAUCAAAAUAUCCCCAAUGGGUUGCCAAUGUGGUCAUGGUAAAAAAGAAGAAUGGGAAAUGGCGGAUGUGUGUCGACUUUACCGACCUGAACAAUAUGCCCAAAAGAUUCCUUUCUGUUACCACGUAUCGACCAGCUUAUCGAUGCAACGGUGGGACACGAACUACUCAGCUUCUUAGACGCUUAUUCUAGUUACAACCAAAUCCUAAUGGUUGAAGAGGACCAAGAAAAGACAACUUUCAUCACUCACCAAGGAACGUACUGCUACAAAGUCAUGCCGUUCGGACUCAAGAAUACAGGGGCGAUGUAUCAAACAUUAGUCACCAAGAUAUUCAAAGAACAACUCGGUAAGACCAUGUAGGUUUACAUCGACGACAUGCUAGUGAAGUGAAAACGAAAUAGGAUCACAUUGGUCAUCUAAAGGAAGCCUUAGAGAUAUUGAGGCAAUACGGAAUGAAACUAAAUCCCGAAAAAUGCGCGUUUGGCAUAACCUCAAGGAAGUUUCUCGAUUUACUGGUGUCACAAAGGUGUAUCGAAGUCAAUCCGGAUCAGAUUAGAUCCUUUGAAGGAAUACCGAAGACAUUAACCAACAAGAAGUAGGUGCAGAAAUUAACAGGACGAAUAGCCGCCCUGUCGAGGUUUAUUUCACGAUCGUCGGACAGAUGCCAUAAAUUCUUCAAUGUGCUAAGGAAAGACCACGGACUAUAGUGGAAUUCAGAGUGCAUCGACGCCUUGAGAAAGCUAAAAGCGUACCUAUCCUCGUUACCACUACUCAUCAAGGCAGACCCGGGUAAAUGCCUCCUGGUGUACCUAGCAGUCUCCGAAGUCACGGUAAGUGCAGCCUUGAUCUGCGAAAAUAAAGGUACGCAAUCUCCGAUUUACUAUAUCAACAAAACCUUAAUUGAUGGCGAAACAAGGUACCAUCACCCUGAGAAACUAGCUCUGGUAUUAGUCGUAGCUUCAUGAAAGCUUAGACCAUAUUUUCAAUGUCACCCCAUAAAAGUGGUGACAACCUUCCCCCUCAAGGGAAUCCUACACAAACCCGAACUAUCAGGUAGGUUGGCCAAAUGGGCCAUAGCAUUAAGCGAGAAUUACAUAACGUACCAACCGCAAACUACUAUUAAGUCACAAGUGCUCGUCGAUUUCGUCGCCGAUUUCAGUGUGGAAAUACUGCCUGAAGUAGAGCAGGAGGCGCUCCACGCUUCCGCAUAUUCCGACCUCUGGGUUGUCUACACCAAUGGUGCAUCUAAUGCAUCGGGAUCAGGACUGGGACUUGUCCUCAAAGUUCCUAUGUGUGAAGUAAUUCGCUAGUCCAUACGAUUCCCCAAGAUGACUAACAACGAGGCCGAGUAUGAAGCUAUGAUUGCAGGAUUGAAAUUAGCCCUCAAAUAUGGCGCUCGACGACUCAUCCUCCAUUGCGAUUCUCAACUCGUGGUGAACCAAGUCACUAGGACUUUCCAAAUCAAAGAACAUAGACUACAAAAGUACCAGUCAUAAAUUCACAAAUUGCUGCCAGAAUUCGACGAAUGCCACCUCGACCAAAUACCCAGGGCUAGAAUAUCAAAACAAAUGGUCUCGCCAAGCUAGCGGCAACCACUAGAAAUAUCAACAAGGAAAACGUGGUCACUCUUCUCCAUUCAGCAAUAGACCAGGUCGAGGUACAUUGUGUAAAUCUAACUUAGGAAUGGCGCAACCGUAUCAUAACAUAUUUGCAUGAUGGAACGCUCCCACAAGAUAAGAAAGAAGCCAAAAAACUUCGAAUACAGACAGUCAGAUACAGCCUCGUAAACUGUGAUCUUUACAAGAGAACAUUCGGCAGCCCCCUGGCCAAGUGUCUUGGGCUAAAUCAAACAAGACGAGUAUUAGAAGAAGUACACGAGGGGAACUGCAGUGCCCAUACGGGAAACCACGCCCUCAUCCGAUACCUCAUCCGCGCCAGAUACUACUGGCCUACCAUGAAAAAAGAAGUCGUGGAUUAUGUCAGGAAGUGUGAACAGUGUCAAAAAUACGCCCCUAUAAUACACCAAGAGAGAGAACUCCUGCAUUCCGUCACUUCGCCAUGGCCAUUCAUAAAGUGGGGGAUGGAUAUUAUCGAACCCCUCCCGGCAGGACGAGGUAAGGUACGCUUCCUUUUGGUUUUAAUUAACUAUUUUUCUAAAUGGGUGAAAGCAGGUGCGUACACUCAAAUACGCGAGCAAGAGGUUACUGCGUUCAUAUGGAAAAAUAUAAUAUGUCGCUUCGGCAUUCCCAAAGAAAUCAGCUGUGACAACGAACCUCAGUUUGUCGAAAUGAAAACGAUCGAUUUUUUCAAAUACUCUCCACACCAUACCAUCCCGCCGGCAAUGGCCAAGCCGAAUCCUCCAAUAAAAUGAUACUAAAUAUAUUGAAAAAGAAGCUCGAAGACGCCAAAGGGCUAUGGCCUAAGCUCCUACCAGAAGUACUAUGGGCAUACCACACUACACAAAAAACUAGCACAGGCGAGACACCAUACUCACUAGUCUACGGGACUGACGCUGUUAUACCCGUCGAAGUCAGAGAACCUAGCUUGAGAUACUCCAACGAAAGCGGACUGAGCAAUGAUGAAAGUAGGAUUCAAGAUCUGGAUGAAGUCGAAGAACGAAGGGAUACAACCCACGUAAGAAUGGUAGCCCAAAAAUAACAAGUAGAAAGGUACUAUAACAAGAAGGCCAAAAUAUGACCGCUCAAGGUCGGAGACUACGUCUUCAAAGCUAAAACACAACCAGCGAAAGACCCUAACAAAGGAAAACUGCGAACAAACUAGGACGGACCGUGCAAAAUCACGGCGGCAGCAAACAGAGGAGCAUUCCAGUUAGAAACAAUGGAAGGAAAACUACUCCAAAACAAUUGGAAUGUCGCCCAUCUCAAAUAUGUCCACUUUUGAAAAAAGGCGCCAUCUAAGUCAUACUCUUUUUCCCUCAUCCGAGUUUUUUCCCAAUCAGGUUUUCUCGGUGAGGUUUUUAAUGAGGCGACAAGGGGGGCGCCUCGAGGUCUGAAGUAAUGUUCAUGACCCUGGCUGUCGACGCGAUCUCCAGGCCGAGUAAUGAGGGGACUGGAUAUAGAUAAUCAAAUCUCCAUUGCAUGUAGAAAGUCGACAUGUAUUUCCUACAAAGAUAUAAUCAAAUCUCCAUUGUAUGUACAAAGUCGACAUGUAUUCCCUACAAGGAUAUAAUCAAAUCUCCAUUAUAUGUACAAAGUCAACAUGUGUUUCCUACAAGAAUAUAAUUAAAUCUCCAUUUUAUGUAUAAAGUCGAUAGGUAUUUCUACGGGAAUAUGAUCAGACCAAUAAAUGAGCGAAAAUCCCAAUGGCCAAGGCCAUCGACGAAACUAUGAGUUCGACCUCAUUCGAACUACGGCGGGAUUCUACCUCGACGACAUUUCGAAGGUAAUAUCCCAAUGGCCAAGGCCAUCGACAAAACUAUGAGUUCGACCUCAUUCGAACUAUGAUGGGAUCCUACCUCGACGACAAUUCGAAAGUAACAUCCUAAUGGCCAAGGCCAUCGACAAAAAUAUGAUUUUGACCUCAUUCGAACUACGACGGGAUCCUACGUCGGCAAUAGUUUGAAGGUAACAUCCCAAUGGCCAAGGCCAUUGACGAAAAUAUGAGUUCGAAAUCAUUCGAACUACCAUGGGAUCCUACCUCGACGACAGUUCGAAGGUAACAUCCCAAUGGUCAAGGCCAUCGACCUCAUUCGAACUACGACGGGAUCCUACCUCAAUGACAAUUCGAAGGUAAAAUCCCAAUGCCCAAGGCCAUCGACAAAAAUACGAGUUCUACUUCACUCGAACUACGAUGGGAUCCCACUUCAACGAUCGUCGAAAGUAGCAUCCCAAAGGUUAAAGUUACUGCCAAAAGAAAAAGGGAUCGACCUCACCCAAAAGCAAAAUCAGCUUAACAGUUCUACAGGUAUCCUGGAUACAAUAAAUAUUGCAAAGAUCAUCACUGAAUCGACAAAACAAAUUCUACAUUACAUCAAAAUGUCACUUACACCUAUCUUUAUAAUGGGAUCAAGCAUGCCCCUUACAAAAGUCCCAAAUCAAAAAGUAAGUACAAACAAAAAGUUACAUAUCAUCCCCGAUUGGGUACGCAUCUUUGUACCAAGAGUCAGAAGCAAGACGGUUCGCAUCAUCAAAAUUGAUAUCAUCCCCGUCAGGUGUAAGAGGGUCGUACCCCCAUGCCUCAUGAGCUGCAUGAGCUUCGGCACGUACGCCCUGAAGUUCUGCUUCAGAUGCCCUCCCCUCAGCAUGAAGAGCCUUGUACAUGUCAAGCCGGGCCUCGACAUGGACCCACAACUCAUAUAAGCGACGAGGCACGACCGGAUAGGCCGAGGCACGAGACGUAGAAGGUUGUGAGUGUCGACUCGCACCCUCCGCUCUCAGUGAGGCCACUUGUCCAUUCAACACAAAUAGCUCCGCCUCCAACUCCUUAACACGCCCCUCAAACCCCGCGAUUGUAGACAUGUAAUUUUUGACCCUCCUCGAAAAAUUACAACUUUUAGUGCUUAGAUAUUAGUUUUAGGCGUAAUAGUACUAUUUUCACUAUCUCCUUAACUUUUGACUUUAUUUUAUCCUUAAAAAAUCAAAAACUACCGAAUAUUUUCCUUUAUUUUAGCUAGUUGAUAUUUUGUCUAGUUAGUUUUACUUUUGAAAAAAAUAAAAAAAUAGACUAGGCAUUUUAUUUUUCAAAAGAUAAGAAGAAAUUUCAAAAAUAUAUAUUUACUUAGUUUAGUUUUAAAGUUGUAGGUUUUAGUGCAAAUUGAGUAUUAUUUAAAUUUUAUUAAUAUAAUAACUUUACAUCUCCUCCUAAUAUUUUUAUUAGUCUAAAUAGACUAGUAUCUUUAUAAAGCUAUUUUUAAUUCAUCAGUAGAAUAAAAGAAAAAAUUGAAAGAAAAAAGAUAACAGAAAAGAAAACGAAAAAAAAGCAAAAUGAAAUUAUAUCAAAAAAAGAUAGGAAGAAAACAUGGACCUUUUCAUUUUGCUAUGAUUUCUCACGGAAAUUCCUUUUGAGAUUUCAAUUUUGAUAUUGUGGGGGCCACACAUUUUCAAAAGAAUCCUGACUUCUUUUCCAAGGACGACACACACAUAUAUACGAGGAUUCACGUCACUUUCAGAGGGGGGGCCACACGGUUUUGGACACUUCUUUUUCUCCAAGCAAUUACUCCAUUUUCAUGGACAAAAACACAGAAAUAGAGUGAGAGGGACGGGAAUAAUAGUGAGAGGGCUCACCCAUCUUCUUCUCCAAAAAAUCCGCCGCCACCCUCCACCAGCGAGUUUAGCCGGGAAAUCCGGCAACCACACCCCUCCAUUUCCUCUGUUGUCCACCACCACCUAGCAACAACGACCCAUCUCCCUUACUCUAAAAACAACCAGCAGCCACACACCACCAAACCAACCGGACCUCUUCUGUAGAAAACAUCCAUGCUCACUUUCUCUCUCUAUCUAGUCUCCAAUUUGUCAAUCAUCACUCUUCUCCUUUUCUAAUUUCUUCAGAAAUAUCAGCUAAAUUGGAAAAAAUCGGCUGCUAGAAUGCUUCUUCGGUUAAGCUCGCCAUAAAUGUGAAACCUCUGUUCUAUCUCGUGCUUCCUACUCCUCUGCUGCUUAGUUGCAUUUGUUUCUGCUCAAAUAUCUAACAAUGCUACCUCUAAAUGGCUUACACUGAGCGAUCUCGCUUGAGGUUGAGUCCAGUUGGGGAUUUUCAUUUUUGUCGCGAUUUCCAAUCCGAUCAACGGUUCAAGCUUCGUUUCAUCUGUUCAUGUUGGGAUUUGUUCAAAUUUUGAUCGGAAAUCUGUGUAUAUGUUUCAAAGUAUCAAGGGAGUUUUCACUACUUGAAGGUUUAUCCCUCCCUCUGUUCUUACUUAAUCCAAAUUGCUAUCAUGUGCUAUCCUACGUUUGUUUGCACGCCAUGUUUAAAUUGUUGCUUUGUGACUGGUUUUUGAUUUCUCCCUUUUAGAUCCAUUUGAUUUGAAUCUUUGAUUGAGCUUUUAAUAAAAGACAAGUUGUGAAUUUUUUCUUGUGAAUACAUAUGGACAUGUAAGUUGAAUAGGGAUAGUGGAUGUCCGUAGAGAGGCAAUUGUGAUUAAAUAGGAUUAGGACGUGGCGGUUUGAUCAGAAAUUGAGAGAAUUGGGUUUAAGAGAAUUAGACAAUAAGAUGUCAUGCUUUAUUGUUAUUUCGCUAUUACUAGAUACUCGCUGAACGCUAGGAGUAUGCUAGGCCGACCACACUUGGGUAGGCAAGCCUUAGGAUUUUUGUUAGUCUUGAUGUGAGAGGUCGUUCCCUUAGUUAACUUUAUCCGGGGAAUACCCCGAGGGAUUUGUAGAUAUUUUGUUCUGGGGAAUGCCCCGAAGAACUUUGUAAAUAUUUGGAGGCCUUGAUGAGCAUUGUGAAUAAGUCAUAAUAUAUACUAGUUUAGGAUUUUUCCUUUCUUUUCUUUUCAUUUUCUCUUAUUAGGUGAGGACAGCCUCGAGCCUUUUGUGUGUGUUUAUUUUUCCAUUUCUGUGUUUAUUAUGUUAAUUCGAAUAUUUUAAAAGCCCACUAGAUCGAGUACGCAACCGUACUAGUUACGGGACUUGGGGAAUGCCUAAAACCUUCCCCCCCGAGUCAAAUGAACCCCCUUACCUGAGUCUCUAAUGUAGACUUAGUUUUGGAGUCCAAAGUGUUUUAAAAGGAAAUCAUUUUAAAAACGGUGACCUGGCACAUCGAAACCAAUGUCAGGAUAUGAUUUGACUCAUAUUCUGAUUGAAGGCAUGUUGUGCUUACUGAGUUUAUCAUGAUGUGGAUUUAUUUGUUUCUUACUGCUCAAUCUCUAUUCACGUUUAUUACUUACUGAGUUGGCGUACUCACAUUACUCCCUGUACCUUGUGUACAGAUCCAGGUAUUUCUAAACCUAGUAGCGGGUGUUGAUUAUUCAGUGGCAGGUCCAUCGGAGUUAGCAAGGUAGCUUCCUGGAAAUCGCAACCCUGCUUCUCUCCCUCCUUAUCCUCCCUUAGGUGUAAUUAGUUAUUUCUAGGCUAUGUUAGUCUUGUUAUUGUUAGACGGUUGUAGUAGAUGCUCAUGACUAGUGACACCCUGAUGUCGGGCUUUCUUUCCACACUGUUGUUUUGAUUUAAACAUGUUAUGAAGGUUUAUUGUUAAAUAGCUUUGAUUUUAUCUUUAAAAUGAAAAUAUUGAUUGGUUUUUGGAAAUGUGCAGCUUGCCUAGUACCACGUUGCCAUCACGACCGGGUUGGUUUUUGGGUCGUGACAUUAAAGUAGGUGUGUAAUGUUGAAUAUGACUUGUGUACAAAAUUUAGGGUCAAUCGGACAUGAUUUGAUAGGUUUCGGCAUCGGUUGUAGAAAUUUGAAGUUUCAAGUAUUUUAAGUUUUAAUUGGAGGGUGAUUCGUGAUUUUAGUGUUGUCAGAUGUAAUUUGAGGGCUCGACUAAGUUUGUAUGGUAUUUCAGGACUUGUCGGUAUGUUUGGUUGAGGUUCUGAGGGCCUCAGGUGCAUUUCGGAUGCUCAAUGGUUCAUUUUUGGACUUUGGAAUAUAGCAGAUUUUCUGGUAUUUUUGUUGCAAACAUUUCUUCAUCACGUUCGCGAGAGAGGUCUCGUGUUCGCAUAAGGUAUCUAGGAGGCCAACUGAAGUUGUUCUUUGCGUUCACAAAGAUGGGGCCGCAUUCACGAAGGAGUUGUUAGGCAGUGCAUCGUGAACGUGAGAAGGGCAUCGCGUUCGCGUAGAGAAAGUUGAGCGGAUGGGACCCCAGACCUUUUUGCCUACACAUUCGCGAUGUUGGUCUCGCGUUCGUGUAAGCUUGAGCUGAGUGGUCUUCGCGUUCGCGACAAGCAUAUCACGUUCGUGAUGAAGGGAUUCUGAUCCAAAGUAAGGUUGUGCUUCACGAAUGCGAGGGUCCUUCCGUGUUCGCGAAGAAGGAAUUAUUUGGGGAGAAUAUAAAGUUUCAAAAAUAAGGGUUUGGCCAUUUUUAUCAUACUUGAGUUUGGGAGCUCGCAUUUGGAAGAGAUUUCGAGGGAGUUUCAAAGAUGUCAAUUGGGUAAUGAUUCUGCACUUGAUUUUGGUUAUAUACCACUAAUCUAUCAUUAAUUUCAUCAUUUAAUUUCGAAUUUGGGUUGAAAAUUGGGGAAAAUGGGAAGAAGUUCUUCAACUAAGAUUUUGGGUUUUGAUUGAGAUUUUGACAACGGAUUUGGAUAAUUUUGGUACGAGUGGACUCGUGAGUGAAUGAAUGUUCAUAUUUUGUGAUUUUUACCUGAUUCCUUGACGUGGUCCCGGGUCAACCUUUUGAGGCGAUUUUCUAAUUCCUUGCUUAAGUCUUGGUUUUAUUAGUUAGAUUAGUUUCUUAUAGUUAUAUUUAUGUUAUGAAAUUGCUUUUGGAUAGAUUUGAGCCAUUCAGCGUCAGAUAUUCGUGGAAAAGGUAUUGUUAUCGAGUGAUUGAGCUUGUUUCGAGGUAAGUCGCUUGCCUAACCUUGUAUGGGGGAACUCCCUUUAGGAUUUGGUACUAUUGUGAUAUGUGAGCGCUAUGUACGUGAAGUGACGAGUUCGUACACUGGCUAUUUGUUGUAAAACUCCGUUUUUCCAUUGAGUAAUAACAUGUUCCACUUUAAUUGAGUUAUACUAGCUUAUGUAAUUAUCUUGUUUAGUUUAGAAUAGCAUGUCUCCAUGUCUUAAUUGCUUAUCUGAACUAUGUGCAUCAUGCUUAGUUAAUCCCCUACUUCUUCCUUGACUUGUACUUAGUCUAAAUUGUAGGAUUUUGUGUUGUAGCCAUUAUUUCCAUUGUUUGAGCUGCAUAUUUACUUUUGGACUACGGGACGGUAUCCUGAGAGAUCCCCCUGCAUAUUUACUUUGGGACUACGAGAUGGUAUCCUGGGAGAUUCCCCUGCAUAUUUACUUUGGAACUACGGGACGGUAUCCCGGGAGAUCCCCCUGCAUAUUUACUUUGGGACUACGGAACGGUAUUCCAAGAGAUCCCCUUGCACAUUUAUGUUUAGGACUACGAGACGGUAUCUUGGGAGAUCCCCUAUUGAUAUUUCUGUGUACUGUACUAUUAUUCUUCUGUGACUUCCUUCUGGUUAAAUUUCAUUCUUUAUUUUACUGUGAUAUUUUGUUCCGUCUUAUUUAUUACAUUCAUACUAGUAGGGCCCCGACCUGACCUCGCCACUACUCGAUCGAGGUUAGGCUUGGCACUUACUAGUACCAUUGUGGUGUACUCAUGCUACUCUUCUGCGCAUAUUUUCGUGUGCAGAUCCAGGUAACUCUUACCAGCCUCGUCCUUAGUCGCAUACCUCUUGCUUCCCGAAGACUUCAAGGUACAUCUGUAGCGUCCGCAGACCUCGGAGUCCCCUUCUAUACCUUCUUAUGUCGUUCCUUUUUCAUUCUUCUGGAUUCUGAUGUAUAGAACAGUUAGAUAAAUCAUAGAAGCUUAUGACUUACGAUGUUCUAGGUAUUGGGAUAUUUUUUAUAUGUUUU
rnacentral:lncRNA from 1 species